rnacentral:sRNA from 1 species
GAGGAGCGGCGCCCGCUGGGCAGCGAGGAGCCCGAUGCAGGAUUCUGCGCGUCAUUUCCGGUCCCGCGGGCGCCCCGUGAAGCCCACCUGGAUCCGCCAGCGCUGUGCCACUCCCCAGUGCCGAGCUCCGAGCUGUCUCCGCGGCCUCGCGCCCGGCCCCUCCACCGCGCGCCUCUCAGGCCCCGCCCGCCAGCGUCCCUUUGUUGUGAAGGCGCCGGGGCCUGGCGCUAUGCCUGCGGCGGAGACUGCAUCAGGCUGUCGCGUCUGUUUCUACGCUUUGCCUGGGAGAGGCCCUGGUGGCCUCGUUCCUGGCGCCCGGAGUCCCUGCUGCGGCCCCACCCCCGGGCGGUCACGGUGACCCAUGCUGCCCAGCCUGGAGGUAAAAUCGUUCGUGGCUGUGGCUUCAGCAUGUCGUCCUCGGUGAAAACCCCGGCACUGGAAGAGCUCGUUCCUGGCUCCGAAGAGAAGCCGAAAGGCAGGUCGCCUCUCAGCUGGGGCUCUCUGUUUGGUCACCGAAGUGAGAAGAUUGUUUUUGCCAAGAGCGACGGCGGCGCAGAUGAGAACGUACUCACCGUCACCAUCACGGAGACCACGGUCAUCGAGUCAGACUUGGGUGUGUGGAGCUCGCGGGCGCUGCUCUACCUCACGCUGUGGUUCUUCUUCAGCUUCUGCACGCUCUUCCUCAACAAGUACAUCCUGUCCCUGCUGGGAGGCGAGCCCAGCAUGCUAGGUGCGGUGCAGAUGCUGUCCACCACCGUUAUCGGGUGUGUGAAAACCCUCGUUCCUUGCUGUUUAUAUCAGCACAAGGCCCGGCUUUCCUACCCACCCAACUUCCUUAUGACGAUGCUGUUUGUGGGUCUGAUGAGGUUUGCAACUGUGGUUUUGGGUUUGGUCAGCCUGAAAAAUGUGGCGGUUUCGUUUGCUGAGACGGUGAAGAGCUCCGCCCCCAUCUUCACGGUGAUCAUGUCUCGGAUGAUUCUGGGGGAGUACACAGGGCUGCUGGUCAACCUCUCCCUCAUCCCAGUCAUGGGCGGGCUGGCGCUGUGCACGGCCACUGAGAUCAGCUUCAACGUCCUGGGGUUCUCGGCCGCACUGUCCACCAACAUCAUGGACUGGUGAGUCACAGAGAAGGUGGGCGUGAGGGGGACGAGACCCGGUGCUCACCUGCGUCUGGGUGUGCGGAUUCUCAGGUGAGCUGAGAAUUCCUCCCGUGAGCCAAAGCAGGUGCGUCCAAUGCUGCCCUUUCCUAAAGAGCAAAACAACAGGUAUCCCCGGAAGGUAAGUUUCUAAAAAAUAAGCCGAAAUUUCAGGAUGGACGGUCUUGGUACUUAAAAUGCUAACCAUGGAGACACGGUUAGCUGAUAAAUGCUGAAAUGCGCAGAUACGCUCAGCAGUGUGUCUCGCUCAGUGUGUCUUCAUGCAGCUGCCAGAGCAGGGACAGUCCCCCAGCGGCAGGUUCUGCCUGUUUGGGAGCUGCACGGCCUCCAGGUCAGGCGGAUCCUCUGCUUCCUUGGUGGCCAUCUGUGUCCUGGUGUCACGAUGGCAGGAAGGAUGAGAGGCCGACUCCCACAGCGAGGACAGCGCAUGGCAGGGUCCCAGAGGAGAGGGCCCUGUUAUUUACGUCUUUGUCACUCGGUAGAGAAGAGCGGUGGACGCUGCACUUCGGGGGCCGUUCAGAUUCACCCAGAAUUGGGCGUCCACCUCCCUGCCGUGCUGUUAAUGGCCACAUUCCAGCCCUGGCAAAACCUGCCCUUUGAGAAUGACCGGCUUCUAGGCUUUUUCUGCUUUUGAGGAAAGAAAGGAAAAGACACCACCACUGGUGUCUGAGAGUUUAUCAUUAUUACUGAUAAUCAAAACAGGUUUGUGGUGAGAUUUUGAAUAAUAUAGAAGUAAAAAUAAAAAUAUGUUGGGCACAGUGGCUCACGCCUGUAAUCCCAGCACUUUGGGAGGCCAAGGCGGGUGGAUCACGAGGUCAGGAGAUCGAGACCAUCCUGGCUAACAUGGUGAAACCCCAUCUCUACUAAAAAUACAAAAGAUUAGUCGGGCGUGGUGGCGGACGCCUGUAGUCCCAGCUACUUGGGAGGCCGAGGAGAGUGGCGUGAACCUGGGAGGCGGAGCUUGCAGUGAGCCGAGAUCGCGCCACCACACUCCAGCCUGGGCGACAGAGCCAGACUCUGUCUCAAAAAAAAAAAAAAAAAA